UACGUAGGGAGCAAGCGUUGUCCGGAAUCAUUGGGCGUAAAGCGCGCGUAGGUGGCCUCAUAAGUCCGCUGUGAAAGUCAAAGGCUCAACCUUUGAAAGCCGGUGGAUACUGCGGAGCUAGAGUCCGGAAGAGGCGAGUGGAAUUCCUGGUGUAGCGGUGAAAUGCGCAGAUAUCAGGAGGAACACCUAUGGCGAAGGCAGCUCGCUGGGACGGUACUGACGCUGAGACGCGAAAGCGUGGGGAGCAAACAGG
rnacentral:rRNA from 1 species